GAUAUACCUUAAUAACCGAGCUGAUGAUACCACUGCGAUACCUACUUCUAUUGUCCAUCAGCCCAAGAUGGUUUCCUCCCCUCCAUGAUUUCCUUCCACCAUGGUUUCAACUUUCAUCACCAUGGUGAAUAAUGGGUGUGACUCAUCUUUCUUCAUUCCACCAUAAUGGCGACCAUGGCGAGUGUUGAUUAAACGUGUUGCGAAAUGUUGAGUGCGUUUUGGGUCGUUUAGACAAUCAUAAAAAAAAUUUUUGAACAGCAAAACUGUUGCGUUAUGCUGAACGCAAAAAUGUAGUCAACGUUACUGAUUGAAUAAGGGUAGUACCCAUAGCGCUUGCUGUCCAUGUGGCUUCUGUUAACUGAUAAACUGCUGUUUUCAGCAUAGUAAGCCUGACCAUGGACGGUAUUCGUCGUCGGCAGAAGACUGUCCAGGUCUGUUUUUUUGUUGGGAGUCUGUUUUUACAGACUCUUGUUUUGGGUUUUGGCACUGACUUUGAGGAGAACCAUGACAUACCAGACCUACUAUGCUGAGACACAGUUUUGUAUUUUUUGCAUCCUGAGCCUGUAAUGAAACUAUUGAGUAAAGAUUUUGAUGAUUAAA